AAACAAGUACUUCCUAAACCUUUAAUUUCUCUCUAAAAUUUCCUCACUCUCUCUCUCUAAGUACUGAUCCAGUUUUAGGAGUUAUGCUGACUUAGUAAUCACUAGGGUGAAAAGGUGCAAAAAUUGCACGUUCUGGCUAAGUAAAGAAUCAGUCCGUCACAAUGUGCCCCCUAGGUCUUCACUUAUGUUCGCCCCUGGACUCAAGAACAACGAAAUUGACAAGAGGAUGUCCGGAAGUUGUGAACGGCUCAGUUGGGUCGGAUCGAGGAAGAAACCCGACAACUCUCCACCAUCCGCGAGAGGCGAACCCAUGGCGGAGCUUCUCUUCGUCGGUAGCGGAGAAGGAGAAGACAGACGAAGAGGACGACGCGGUGAAGAUAUAUGAGCAACGGUGGUUUGUUCGUGCAAGACGCUUGCGAAUCAUCUCACCAACUGUGGUUUUCAGUCUACUCCUCGAGAUGAGAGGGUGCAGCAGUCUCUGUUAAUAUCUUUGAUCCUUUUUUUUUAGCUGCUGUUGCUGUUGAAUGAUGAUUCAGGAUGUUUGAUAACUUGUUUAGAUUUGUUCUCAAUGAUCAUCAGAGUAGAGAUUCGAGCAGCUGAUUCAGGGGAUGAUUAAACCGUAUAAAGUUGCGUCCUUUACUAUUAUUUUUUGUAUUGUUGUUACAUUUGUUUCAGGGGUUGAUAUAAUAGUAUAAAGUUGGUUUCCUUAUGAUUUAUGGUAUUGGUGUAUUUGUUUCAGGAGAUCGUGUAAUCAAGGCGUUUAUGAUUCAACGUGGGGAUAAUUCGGCGAAUGAUGAAUCUAUCUAUGGCUGGGACAAGAGAGAGCUUUCCUGAUUCUUGAUGAUACAGAGAAUGCAGCUACGUCUGCAGAUUAGAUAUUUUUCCCAAUGAGAGAGCGUUUUAUCUGAAGUAUCAAACUGCUGAUGGAAUAUGUAAGGCAAGGUUUACAUAUGAAACUGUCUCUACUUUUGGGUAACACACAACGAUAAGUAUUAAGGAAGAUGCACAUGAUGAUAAGAAGCAAAGGGAGCUGAUUCAUCUUGCUACUCAGCUGAUUCAUCUUUGGAACCUGAUGGACACUCCUGAUGAAGAAAGGGAGCUGUUUGAUCACUUUACUUGUAAUCAUAUGAAAUAUAUAUAUGUUAGCUUCGGUCAAUUUAAUUUUAUUACCAAACUACAGUAGUUGUUGUGUUGCUGUAUUUGUAAAACUACAAUGCAAAAUGCCAUAACUUUUAUGAAAA